rnacentral:rRNA from 1 species
GACGAACGCUGGCGGCGUGCUUAACACAUGCAAGUCGAGCGAUGAAGCUCCUUCGGGAGUGGAUUAGCGGCGGACGGGUGAGUAACACGUGGGUAACCUGCCUCAUAGAGGGGAAUAGCCUUCCGAAAGGAAGAUUAAUACCGCAUAAGAUUGUAGUUCCGCAUGGAACAGCAAUUAAAGGAGUAAUCCGCUAUGAGAUGGACCUGCGUCGCAUUAGCUAGUUGGAGAGGUAACGGCUCACCAAGGCGACGAUGCGUAGCCGACCUGAGAGGGUGAUCGGCCACAUUGGGACUGAGACACGGCCCAGACUCCUACGGGAGGCAGCAGUGGGGAAUAUUGCACAAUGGGGGAAACCCUGAUGCAGCAACGCCGCGUGAGUGAUGACGGUCUUCGGAUUGUAAAACUCUGUCUUUGGGGACGAUAAUGACGGUACCCAAGGAGGAAGCCACGGCUAACUACGUGCCAGCCGCCGCCGUAAAAC